rnacentral:tRNA from 1 species
GCCGUAGCUCAGUGGAAGAACAUGUGCUUAGCAUGCACAUGGCCCUGGGAUAGAUCCCCAGCACA